rnacentral:rRNA from 1 species
UACAGAGGUUGCAAGCGUUAAUCGGAUUUACUGGGCGUAAAGCGUGUGUAGGUGGUUAUACAAGUCGGUUGUGAAAUCCCCGGGCUCAACCUGGGAACUGCUUCCGAGACUGCAUGACUAGAGAUCGGUAGAGGGCGGUGGAAUUUCCGGUGUAGCGGUGAAAUGCGUAGAUAUCGGAAGGAACACCAAUGGCGAAGGCAGCCGCCUGGGCCUGAUCUGACACUGAGACACGAAAGCGUGGGGAUCAAACAGGAUUAGAAACCCU